AGCUCCAAUAGCGUAUAUUAAUGUUGUUGCAGUUAAAAAGCUCGUAGUUGGAUUUCUGUUUGAAAUAUCCGGUCUGGUCCACAAGGAUCAUGAAUCAGGUAUAUUUUAGGCAUCCUUUAGGAAAAUAUGCAUAGCAUUUAUUUGUUGUGUAUAGGAUCCUAAUCGUUUACUGUGAAAAAAUUAGAGUGUUUAAAGCAGGCAAUUGCACUGAAUACAUUAGCAUGGAAUAAUAAGAUAGGACUUUGGUGCUAUUUUGUUGGUUUGCACACCAAGGUAAUGAUUAACAGGGACAGUUGGGGGUAUUCGUAUUUAAUUGUCAGAGGUGAAAUUCUUGGAUUUAUGAAAGACGAACUACUGCGAAAGCAUUUACCAAGGAUGUUUUCAUUAAUCAAGAACGAAA
rnacentral:rRNA from 1 species